AGCCUGUGUCUAACGUAGUUCUGACACCUUGUAUGAGUGCUGCAAAAGCAGUACUUGAUUACGUUUUAGCUCUGAGGCAG